UCCUCUCCUGAAAAUUCCAAAUUUAAUUUAAUUUCAUUUCAUUUUCUGAUAUUUCGCUUUUUUCCCCCAAAAAAUCAUCUAUCUCUCCUUCCUGUUAAUAUGUCGCUUCGAUUUCCUUCCCCUUGCCAAAAUAUUUUUAAAUCAAUCAAUGAAUUAAAGAUCAUGCUUACAACCAAAAUUCCUCAUUAUGCGAACUCCAAAAACCCCAACUUCCAAAAUCUAACUCAUUAUGGCUACCUCCAUUCUACCCUGAUUUGAAAUACUCUUUCUGUAAAUUGUUUCGUAGAAUCAACAUAAUCACUAACCCAUUAAAUAAUUUUAAUAUUUUACAAUUGAUCGCUUGUGUUUAAGUAGCAGAUCGUCGAUUCAAAACGACGUGUACUGUGGCAAACAGAUGUUUGUUUGCGUUGGACCAAACUACCAGUAUGCAAUUGAAUGUAAAAUCUGUUGACAUCACUCUAUCUUUUGGCCUGGUAUUUAUUUUUCCUUAGAGAAGCUUUAAUGUUAGAUAUAUGUAAAUGAACUUAUUACACAAGUGCAUUAUAUGAAUCAUUACCCAAUUUUUUUUGGAGGUGUGGAUUGGUUUCGGAUGAGAUGAAAAGUUUGUUUAACAUUGUCGCUUAUUCUAUGUGAGUGGAUAUGUUAAUAUGGUACUCCGUAUUAUUUUUAUGCA